UACGGAGGGGGCUAGCGUUGUUCGGAAUUACUGGGCGUAAAGCGCACGUAGGCGGCUUUGCAAGUCGGAUGUGAAAGCCCUCGGCUCAACCGAGGAAGUGCGUUCGAAACUGCAGAGCUUGAGUGCCGGAGAGGGUGGCGGAAUUCCCCAAGUAGAGGUGAAAUUCGUAGAUAUGGGGAGGAACACCGGUGGCGAAGGCGGCCUUCUGGACAGUGACUGACGCUGAGACGCGAAAGCGUGGGGAGCAACAGG
rnacentral:rRNA from 1 species